rnacentral:tRNA from 2 species
GCGGGUGUAGCUCAAUGGUAGAGCUCUAGCUUCCCAAGCUAGCUACGAGGGUUCGAUUCCCUUCACCCGCU